rnacentral:rRNA from 1 species
UACGUAGGGCGCAAGCGUUAUCCGGAAUUAUUGGGCGUAAAGAGCUCGUAGGCGGUUUGUCGCGUCUGCCGUGAAAGUCCGGGGCUCAACUCCGGAUCUGCGGUGGGUACGGGCAGACUAGAGUGAUGUAGGGGAGACUGGAAUUCCUGGUGUAGCGGUGAAAUGCGCAGAUAUCAGGAGGAACACCGAUGGCGAAGGCAGGUCUCUGGGCCUUACCUGACGCUCAGGCGCGAAAGCUAGGGGAGCGAACCGG